GAUGAACGCUGGCGGCGUGCCUAAUACAUGCAAGUCGAGCGAACAGACGAGGAGCUUGCUCCUCUGACGUUAGCGGCGGACGGGUGAGUAACACGUGGAUAACCUACCUAUAAGACUGGGAUAACUUCGGGAAACCGGAGCUAAUACCGGAUAAUAUAUUUAACCGCAUGGUUCAAUAGUGAAAGACGGUUUUGCUGUCACUUAUAUAUGGAUCCGCGCCGCAUUAGCUAGUUGGUAAGGUAACGGCUUACCAAGGCAACGAUGCGUAGCCGACCUGAGAGGGUGAUCGGCCACACUGGAACUGAGACACGGUCCAGACUCCUACGGGAGGCAGCAGUAGGGAAUCUUCCGCAAUGGGCGAAAGCCUGACGGAGCAACGCCGCGUGAGUGAUGAAGGUCUUCGGAUCGUAAAACUCUGUUAUUAGGGAAGAACAAAUGUGUAAGUAACUAUGCACGUCUUGACGGUACCUAAUCAGAAAGCCACGGCUAACUACGUG
rnacentral:rRNA from 1 species